rnacentral:piRNA from 1 species
ACCCCGUGACAUGAGUUUGCCUAUGUAAC